rnacentral:rRNA from 1 species
UACGAAGGGGGCUAGCGUUGCUCGGAAUCACUGGGCGUAAAGGGUGCGUAGGCGGGUCUUUAAGUCAGGGGUGAAAUCCUGGAGCUCAACUCCAGAACUGCCUUUGAUACUGAGGUAUCUUUGAGUUCGGGGAGAGGUGAGUGGAACUGGCGAGUGUAGAGGUGAAAUUCGUAGAUAUUCGCAAAGAACACCAGUGGCGAAAGGCGGCUCACUGGCCCCGAUACUGACGCUGAGGCACGAA